rnacentral:misc_RNA from 1 species
UGGUUCCAGCAUCGAUGAAGAACGCAGCGAAAUGCGAUAAAUAAUGUGAAUUGCAGAAUUCAGUGAAUCAUCGAGUCUUUGAACGCACAUUGCGCCCUCUGGUAUUCCGGGGGGCAUGCCUGUUCGAGCGUCAUUACACUACUCAAGCCCAGCUUGGUAUUGGGACCUUGCCUCGUCUGAGGCUUGCCCGAAAGUUAGCGGCGACGUGCCCGGCACCCAAGCGCAUUAAAGUAAUCUACUCGCUUAGGGGAUCUGCUCGGGUGUGUUGGCCGGAUAACCCAACUAAUUAUUCUACGAUUGACCUCGGAUCAGGUAGGGAUACCCGCUGA